AGGAGCAAGCGAGAAAGAAGCUCCACCGGAUCUGCGCCGCGUCCAGGCCAGGCUCCAACACACGACGACCCAGGCCGCCACGAGCAGCAAGCGAGGACGAAGCUGCCAUAUCCAGUUCCGAGUUCCGACCAGCGUCGCUAGCUUGGAUUGGAUCCAUUCCAUGGACGCCCCGCGACGGCAAAAAACGGUUGGAUCCAUGGACGGCAAGAUGCGUCUGCUGCCUCUGAGUGUGACCGUGGUCAGCGCUUGGGCGCUCCUCACCACCUCCGUCUUCCUCGGCUGCUCCAUCCUGGCCUACUAUGAAAUCCCGACCUGUGCUUCAAGCCGGCAGAUAUUACCGGGAUGGUGGCCAACGCUGCGUCUCAUGUGGCCGCGUCGGCGCUGACGCUGCCACGGCGGGGUCCGCCGUGCCCUCGUGUCGGCUGUGCCAUCGCGUGCCUCGCGCUCUCGCUCGUCAUCGUCGUCCAUUUUAUUCUUACUAGAAGAACGCCCGUGCGUUGCAACGGGGCCACAUUAGCUUUAAGAGUUCAAUAUCAGUUAUGUUAAUAUUACAUUUAAUAUUCUCA